GUGCGAGACCGAUAGCGAACAAGUACCGUGAGGAAAAGAUGAAAAGAACUUUGAAAAGAGAGUUAAAGAGUACCUGAAACUGCUGAAAGGGAAGCGAAUCGUAUCCAGUGUCUAUAAUCUGCGGCAUAUUUCAUUGGCGGCGGUGCGCGUGCUUUUGCGUCGGAAGCGGCUUUUGUUGCUCUGUGCUUUUGCUGUGCGUGUUGUUGCUGGUGCCCUGUGUUGCGGUGGGACGUCAGAGUCAGUUUGUAUGCUGCGGGAAAUGGCUGCCGAGGAGGUAGGUCGAGAUUUCGGUCUUGGCUGUUAUAUCUUGGUGGUUUGUUGUCGUGGUUGAGACUGAGGUGCCUACAAUGUGCUUUUGAGUGUACCGGGUUCUCAUUUGGUGGACUGUUUGGAUAGCUUGCUAUGCUUGUGGUUUUUUCAUCGGGUGAUUGAAACUGGUGGUAACUUGUUGCUGUUCGGGACUUUG
rnacentral:rRNA from 2 species